AAUUGCAGUGAGCUCCUUCCUGCUUCCGUCUGGAUGAAAAAGACAAGGAGGCUUAUAAAAUAUUGUAUUUUUGGAGACGUUCACGAUUCGGGAAGCAGAAAACGAUAUUUCGUAUGGCUUAAGAUAGCAGCCAAACACUAUGGUGCCAAGCGUAGAGCCCGUGGUAUUGGCGGUUUCACUUGCCUGUUUCACCGUGUGUCUAGUGCUUCUUUUGGCAGCUUGUGGGAAGAAGUCUAAAAGUGAAACGGAGUUACCACCAAUUGAAGUACAGAAUGCGGAUGAAUCAGUAGAGGCUGCCGGAUCUGGUGAAGACGGUACGAAAGAUGACUCAAAAAAAGACAAAGAACCAUACUAUUAGAAAAGACUAGAUUUCGCACUGACUUUAGAAGCUGAUGACGAAGUCCUGGACACUAUCGAAGAACUGAGGUCAUGUCCAGAUGAAGCACGAACUGACACUGGAGGAAGACUGGCGGCUCUAGAAACAAGCACUGAAGAGAGGGCCGAGGCGCGGAUGUGGAACAGUUAAUCAUUUAUGACAGCAUAUCAUAGGGUGGCAUUGGAGCGGUUUGACGCAUUAGGUUUGACGGAGUUCGUCACUUUAGUUGGUGAUAUAUGACAGGGCAUCCAUUUGCUGUCGUUGAAAAUGGCUUAACACCAGGUGAAAUUUUGAGCAGCCUUGUUAAAUGUCGUUUUGUAAGGUAUCUUAAGUUACUUUUCGUGAGGCAAUUACAGGCUACAUUUCGUACCGUUUUGUUGGCCAUGCCAUGAUCAAACGGUUACGUUUUCAAAGUAUGCACUCAGCUGUCCCCGACACCGACAUAAACAACAAAACAUUCGCUGGGUGACGUCUGUAUAUAAAGAAAAAAAGAAAUACUGGGUCCUACCCAAAGCCUUAGAAAUUAAGUUACCAUUGGUAGAGCAUACACUGGUGUACGUCAUAUUUUGCUUAUUCCUCAGCAUAAUGGAACACUAUAAAGCACAAGCAGUGAACUGUCAAAUGAAGUGAACUGAAGUGUCAGGGCUACAGGAGGGUAGACUUAACUGUUGUCACUACAAGAUGCAACCUUUUGGAACAGCUAAUUAGGCUUUGUCGUGUCGCAAGAUGGCAUUGACAUCAUCACCUUCGCUUGUAAAGUGGAGCCAUGUUGUGUGUGAUAAUUCAUCAGUGUAGUCUGACGUGACAUUAUGCACUAUAAGCUUUGGAGUACGGCAAUGCACGUAGAUAGUGUAUCCAAAGUUUUUCGUAAAACAGUCAGUGCGCAAGUUCUUGGAGACCGUUUUUUGCGCGAACGCUUCCGUUUAACGCAGUAGCAAAUACACGGAUAA